ACUCCGGACUGUAGAGAGGAAGAGGAAUCUUUCUCUCUUUGUUUCUGAUCAUUUUUCAUCAUUUGUCCGGAAGAUUUACUCUUUCUCGUUUCUUGGCUGGAGGGCGCAAAAUCCAAAUACCGGAUUGUGUGUCGUUUGCCCAAGACUCUCUGUUGGAUGUCGUAGUACAACAUGAGCCGCGCCUGUGUGUGUGUAUGUGUAUGUGUGUUUAAGAGCUCUGGAGAGCCUUGUCGUUGUUCUAAUCAAAGGCGACAAAAAAAUGGUCUCAAGUCUCAAGGAGGAUCAGGGAGCAAGAUCGAAGGACAAAGUGGAACUUGGUGUCUUCGUUUACCUUUUUCGCCCGUAGGUUCACUGCCUACGACUAAUACAACAACUGGUACUAACUCUGGCUUGGAACGAGAUUAAAAGGAACUUCAACAAGUGCUUUGUCUGUACAAAUCAUUUCCAGCACACUGACAAGCGUCUUCUUGAUGAGUUCCUUGUCAUUAUCCUUUGAUGUUGUUCCUCUUAGGAUCUCGCAAUAAGAUCACGGUUACUGUCCAAAGCAUCAAGGGGUCGAAUACUAAGAAUAAGCGGGUUUUGUUAUCAUCACUUUUUUGAAGGAACUUUUGCGAGCGAUAGUAUUCAGAAACAUUUGAGUUCAUGGAACAAAUAUUCAUGCCAGGAAUUGUUAUUCCCACACAUUUGAAUAAUUCCGGUUCUAUUGAUUUUCAAUAGGAAUCUCAUUUUGAGCAAUGACUUUGGUGUGGAUCGACUAUUGACCAAAAGGCCAACUUUCCCUCAAUGUUCCAAAAACGACCCCAUCUUGGAUCUUGGACUGUAGGGGACCGAUUUGUCAUUGCGAAUUCUUCAGAGUGAUCCACUAAGCUUGACUUGAAGUUGUAAGACAAUGGCUUUGAUCUUUGAAGACUUGAUGAACACUCGAUUGUGGAAACAGACUGACCUGAAUCCGAGACUCCCUGAGACCAUUGAGUCAACCCUGGAAAUCGCACUUGGCUUUUGGAACUCGUGGAAUUUCCCCGUUUGUUUUUAGCAAGAACGCUAAUGAAUUUAUUGUUCUUAUUAGCGAGAGAGACAAAAUUUGCUCCAUUUUACAAGAACCCAUUGGAACGCGAGGAUUCUUUGGCCAAGGGGCAUGUAUGUUGCUCAAAAUUGGAACCAUCAAUUAAUCAGCAACUCGAGACAACUAAAUAAAUGCAAGGACCACUUCACACUCCAAACUGCCUGCAUUGCUUGUCGGUUCCAAAGAUUUAUAACGCCGUUUGUGCAUCCAGUAUUCAAUUCAAUCCCAAAAUUAGACAGUUAUAAGAAGAGAAAAAUCAUGCCCACGGAAAUAGCUCGAUUUGUAUAUUUUGGGUCUUCUUUCAAAGUAGGCCUUAAACUUACAGGGCUUUUGAAUACUUUUGUAUAAGUAAAACAUCACUCAUGGCUUACAAUAACCAUUUCCACUCUUAGAAAAAAGCCAAUAUUCACCAGCCUAUCAACGCCGACCUUUAAGGCCCAAAGGCCGAUA